AUUGAACGCUGGCGGCAUGCCUUACACAUGCAAGUCGAACGGUAACAGGUCUUCGGAUGCUGACGAGUGGCGAACGGGUGAGUAAUACAUCGGAACGUGCCCGAGAGUGGGGGAUAACGAAGCGAAAGCUUUGCUAAUACCGCAUACGAUCUCAGGAUGAAAGCAGGGGACCGCAAGGCCUUGCGCUCACGGAGCGGCCGAUGGCAGAUGAGGUAGUUGGUGGGAUAAAAGCUCACCAAGCCGACGAUCUGUAGCUGGUCUGAGAGGACGACCAGCCACACUGGGACUGAGACACGGCCCAGACUCCUACGGGAGGCAGCAGUGGGGAAUUUGGGACAAUGGGCGCAAGCCUGAUCCAGCCAUGCCGCGUGCAGGAUGAAGGCCUUCGGGUUGUAAACUGCUUUUGUACGGAACGAAAAGACUCUGGUUAAUACCUGGGGUCCAUGACGGUACCGUAAGAAUAAGCACCGGCUAACUACGUGCCAGCCGCCGCCGUAAAAC
rnacentral:rRNA from 1 species